rnacentral:rRNA from 1 species
GACGCUGGCGGCGUGCCUAAUACAUGCAAGUCGUACGCUUCUUUUUCCACCGGAGCUUGCUCCACCGGAAAAAAGAGGAGUGGCGAACGGGUGAGUAACACGUGGGUAACCUGCCCAUCAGAAGGGGAUAACACUUGGAAACAGGUGCUAAUACCGUAUAACAAUCGAAACCGCAUGGUUUUGAUUUGAAAGGCGCUUUCGGGUGUCGCUGAUGGAUGGACCCGCGGUGCAUUAGCUAGUUGGUGAGGUAACGGCUCACCAAGGCCACGAUGCAUAGCCGACCUGAGAGGGUGAUCGGCCACAUUGGGACUGAGACACGGCCCAAACUCCUACGGGAGGCAGCAGUAGGGAAUCUUCGGCAAUGGACGAAAGUCUGACCGAGCAACGCCGCGUGAGUGAAGAAGGUUUUCGGAUCGUAAAACUCUGUUGUUAGAGAAGAAUAAGGAUGAGAGUAACUGUUCAUCCCUUGACGGUAUCUAACCAGAAAGCCACGGCUAACUACGUGCCAGCAGCCGCGGUAAUACGUAGGUGGCAAGCGUUGUCCGGAUUUAUUGGGCGUAAAGCGAGCGCAGGCGGUUUCUUAAGUCUGAUGUGAAAGCCCCCGGCUCAACCGGGGAGGGUCAUUGGAAACUGGGAGACUUGAGUGCAGAAGAGGAGAGUGGAAUUCCAUGUGUAGCGGUGAAAUGCGUAGAUAUAUGGAGGAACACCAGUGGCGAAGGCGGCUCUCUGGUCUGUAACUGACGCUGAGGCUCGAAAGCGUGGGGAGCAAACAGGAUUAGAUACCCUGGUAGUCCACGCCGUAAACGAUGAGUGCUAAGUGUUGGAGGGUUUCCGCCCUUCAGUGCUGCAGCUAACGCAUUAAGCAUCCGUC